GGUAAUUUAUUAUAAAACAAAAAGGGCUGGGCACUGCAGCUCAGGCCUGUAAUCCCAGCACUUUGGGAGGCUGAGGCAGGUGGAUGACUUGAGGUUAGGAGUUUGAGACCAGCCUGGCC